ACGGAAGGCAGCAGUGGGGAAUAUUGCACGAUGGGGGAAACCCUGAUGCAGCGACGCCGCGUGAAGGAAGAAGUAUCUCGGUAUGUAAACUUCUAUCAGCAGGGAAGAUAAUGACGGUACCUGACUAAGAAGCCCCGGCUAACUACGUGCCAGCAGCCGCGGUAAUACGUAGGGGGCAAGCGUUAUCCGGAUUUACUGGGUGUAAAGGGAGCGUAGACGGAACGGCAAGUCUGAUGUGAAAGGCUGGGGCCCAACCCCGGGACUGCAUUGGAAACUGUCGGUCUUGAGUGCCGGAGGGGUAAGCGGAAUUCCUAGUGUAGCGGUGGAAUGCGUAGAUAUUAGGAGGAACACCAGUGGCGAAGGCGGCUUACUGGACGGUAACUGACGUUGAGGCUCGAAAGCGUGGGGAGCAAACAGGAUUAGAUACCCUGGUA
rnacentral:rRNA from 1 species